UGAGAGAGCGGCGUACGGGUGCGGAACACGUGUGCAACCUGCCUUUAUCUGGGGGAUAGCCUUUCUAAAGGAGAAUUAAUACCCCAUAACAUAAUUGAUGGCAUCAUUGAUUAUUGAAAACUCCUGUGCAUAGAGAUGGGCACGCGCAAGAUUAGAUAGUUGGUAGGGUAACGGCCUACCAAGUCAAUGAUCUUUAGGCGGCCUGAGAGGGUGAUCCCCCACACUGGUACUGAGACACGGACCAGACUCCUACGGGAGGCAGCAGUGAGGAAUAUUGGACAAUGGGUGAGAGCCUGAUCCAGCCAUCCCGCGUGAACGACGACGGCCCUAUGGGUUGUAAACUUCUUUUGUAUAGGGAUAAACCUUUCCACGUGUGGAAAGCUGAAGGUACUAUACGAAUAAGCACCGGCUAACUCCGUGCCAGCAGCCGCGGUAAUACGGAGGGUGCAAUCGUUAUCCGGAUUUAUUGGGUUUAAAGGGUCCGUAUGCGGAUCUGUAAGUCACUGGUGAAAUCUCAUAGCUUAACUAUGAAACUGCCAUUGAUACUGCAGGUCUUGAGUAAGGUAGAAGUAGCUGGAAUAAGUAGUGUAGCGGUGAAAUGCAUAGAUAUUACUUAGAACACCAAUUGCGAAGGCAAGGUGACUAUGUCUUAACUGACGCUGAUGGACAACAGCGUGGGGAGCGAACAGGAUUAGAUACCCUGGUCAGUCCACGCCGUAAACGAUGCUAACUCGAUUUUGGGUUUUCGGAUUCAGAGACUAAGCGAAAGUGAUAAGUUAGCCACCUGGGCGAGUACGUUCGCAAGAAUGAAACUCUAAGGAAUUGACGGGGGCCCGCACAAGCGGUGGAUUAUGUGGUUUAAUUCGAUGAUACGCGAGGAACCUUACCAAGACUUAAAGUGGGAAAUGACAGAUUUAGAAAUAGAUCCUCUUCGGACAUUUUUCAAGGUGCU
rnacentral:rRNA from 1 species